UGCCCCAUGGCUGAGUUGGUUACAGCGUCCGACUGUUAUCCCGCGGGUAAUGACGGUAUCGGAAGGUCGAGAGUUCGAGCCUCUCUGGGGCAG